CAGUAGCCACGGUAAUACGUAGGUCCCGAGCGUUGUCCGGAUUUAUUGGGCGUAAAGCGAGCGCAGGCGGUUAGAUAAGUCUGAAGUUAAAGGCUGUGGCUUAACCAUAGUACGCUUUGGAAACUGUUUAACUUGAGUGCAAGAGGGGAGAGUGGAAUUCCAUGUGUAGCGGUGAAAUGCGUAGAUAUAUGGAGGAACACCGGUGGCGAAAGCGGCUCUCUGGCUUGUAACUGACGCUGAGGCUCGAAAGCGUGGGGAGCAAACAGGAUUAGAUACCCGAGUAGUCCCUGUCUCUUAUACC
rnacentral:rRNA from 1 species